GCAUGACAUUAAAAGAUUUUAAAAGAAUCGGGAUACGCUGUGGUGCCACAUCAUUGCUAGUGCAUAGCUGGGGCCGCCUGCCCAUCGCGGGUGGUCCUUUUAACUGCUAGCUACAGAU